rnacentral:lncRNA from 1 species
GACAUCACCAUUUUAUCAGUCAUUUGACCACCUUAAAACAAAAACUGUGAGUCAGUAACCUUUAAAGACAUCUUUACUUUUAUUUGUUUAUACCUGUUGGGACUUUAAGUAACAUUGUUUUUAGUGAAGACAAAAAUCGUUUUUAAACUUUUUUUUUUAACCAAACAAAAGUAGACAUGACAAUCAUUAGUGUACACACAUACACAAAACAAAGAUCAAUUGCCAUGCAGCAUUUUUAAACCUAUUAGAUUGAGAGCUAACUCUUGUAAAUUAAUCACUGAGCAAAGUAGAGUGUAACAACAACAACAAAAACACUCUAUAAUUAGAUAAAAUAGGUCUAAUGAGGGAAACAUAUUAACAUAGGCACACUGGACCCAAAUCAGAAACUCAAAGAAUUAGAGUUAAAAUAGAAUUUAAAAAGUCUUCCUAGCCUCUGUCCUGAUGUGGUCCUACUUAUCUGAGGUGAAAAGAAUUUGAGAAGAGAAAUUAGGGUUUGUGGGCACUCAGAGAGAGGAGAAUGUCUAUUUUCUUAAUUGUAAGUGAAUAUAGACAAAGGCCUUGUCCCAUGGAUUCCUGAAGGAAUUUCCCAAAAAGGUAUCAAGGGAUCCUGCUUUCAUGGUCUCCUUGGGAGAGCUCCUUUAGGUUGGGUCCUGUUCUAAACUCGUUUUUCUUGUCUCUUGGAUAUCAGCCACCAAAAUUUUAGCCUAGCAUUCUGCAGCUUUAUAAGCUGGACUAUCACAGUGAAAAACCUAUUGGGGCCAAUCCCCCCCCCAAAAAAAA